GUGCUCGCUUUGGCAGCAUAUAUACUAAAACUGGAAUGAUGCAGAGAAGAUGAGCAUGGCCCUUGUGCAAAGAUGAGAGGCAAAUUUGUGAAGUGUUACAUAUCUCU
rnacentral:snRNA from 1 species